rnacentral:pre_miRNA from 1 species
AAAUAGCCCCCUAUGUUUUAAUUCUUUGACAGUUUUGGACCCCAAGGCAAAAAAAAAAAUUGACACGUGGCACCUCACUUAGGGUGCCACGUCAGCGUUGACCGAGUCAACAAUGGACUGGAGGUCCAAAACUGCCAAAGAAUCAAAACAUAUGGGACUGUUU